rnacentral:rRNA from 1 species
AUCGAACGCUGGCGGCAGGCCUAACACAUGCAAGUCGAACGAGUGGCGGACGGGUGAGUAAUGUCUGGGACCCUGCCCGCUGUAGGGGGCUAACUACUGGAAACGGUAGCUAAUCCCGCAUACCAUCGGAUGUGCCCAGAUGGGCUUAGCUAGUAGGUGGGGUAACGGGUCACCUAGGCGACGAUCCCUCGCUGGGCUGAGAGGAUGAACAGCGACACUGGAACUGAUGCACGGUACAGAGUCCUACGGGAGGCAGGAGUGGGGAAUAGUGGACAAUGGGCGCAAGCCUGAUGCAGCGAUGCCGCGUGUAUGAAGGAGGCAUUCGGGUUGUAAGGUACGUUAAGCGAGGAGGGGUUACUCGGAGAAGAAGCACCGGCUAACUCCGUGCCAGCAGCCGCGGUAAUUC